rnacentral:pre_miRNA from 1 species
AGAGGGAUUGCUGGGUCAACUGGUGGUUCCAUUCCCAGUUUUCUAAGAAAUAUCCACACUGCUUUCCACAUUGGCUUUACCAAUUUGCAGUCCCACCAGAAGU